rnacentral:rRNA from 1 species
UGGGGAUAUUGCACAAUGGGGGAACCCUGAUGCAGCGACGCCGCGUGGGUGAAGAAGCGCCUCGGCGCGUAAAGCCCUGUCAGCAGGGAAGAAAAUGACGGUACCUGAAGAAGAAGCCCCGGCUAACUACGUGCC